rnacentral:rRNA from 1 species
UACGGAGGGUGCAAGCGUUGUCCGGAUUUAUUGGGUUUAAAGGGUGCGUAGGCGGUCUGACAAGUCUGAUGUGAAAUCUAUGGGCUCAACCCAUAGUCUGCAUCGGAAACUGUCGGGCUUGAGUAUGGGAGAGGUGAGUGGAAUUUCCGGUGUAGCGGUGAAAUGCGUAGAUAUCGGAAGGAACACCUGUGGCGAAAGCGGCUCACUGGACCAUUACUGACGCUGAGGCACGAAAGCUAGGGGAGCAAACAGG